CUUUGUGGUGCAGGUUGGCCAGCAGCGGGAUUCACAUCCUUGGAGGACAUCUGCAGCGCUUUGACCGCUGCUCCAAGGACCCUUGUUGUUGCAGAAGGAUGGCUGCAAAGAAAAAGGAGGUGGUGCUGCAGAUUAACAUCAAUAGCCAGGAGCUUUGGGAAGAAAUGCUGUGCCUCAAAGGACUCAUUGUUGUUGAUGCGUUUCAAGCCUGGUGCGGUCCAUGCAAAACGGUGGUGGAUCUCUUCCGAAAAAUAAGGAAUGAAGUUGGCAGUGAUCUCCUGCAUUUUGCUGUGGUA